GCCUACGGGGGGCAGCAGUAGGGAAUCUUCCACAAUGGGCGAAAGCCUGAUGGAGCAACGCCGCGUGGGUGAAGAAGGUCUUCGGAUCGUAAAACCCUGUUGUUAGAGAAGAAAGUGCGUGUGAGUAACUGUUCACGUUUCGACGGUAUCUAACCAGAAAGCCACGGCUAACUACGUGCCAGCAGCCGCGGUAAUACGUAGGUGGCAAGCGUUAUCCGGAUUUAUUGGGCGUAAAGGGAACGCAGGCGGUCUUUUAAGUCUGAUGUGAAAGCCUUCGGCUUAACCGGAGUAGUGCAUUGGAAACU
rnacentral:rRNA from 1 species